rnacentral:rRNA from 1 species
GCUCAACCGAAGAAGUGCAUCGGAAACUGGGAAACUUGAGUGCAGAAGAGGACAGUGGAACUCCAUGUGUAGCGGUGAAAUGCGUAGAUAUAUGGAAGAACACCAGUGGCGAAGGCGGCUGUCUGGUCUGUAACUGACGCUGAGGCUCGAAAGUAUGGGUAGCAAACAGGAUUAGAUACCCUGGUAGUCCAUACCGUAAACGAUGAAUGCUAAGUGUUGGAGGGUUUCCGCCCUUCAGUGCUGCAGCUAACGCAUUAAGCAUUCCGCCUGGGGAGUACGGCCGCAAGGCUGAAACUCAAAGGAAUUGACGGGGGCCCGCACAAGCGGUGGAGCAUGUGGUUUAAUUCGAAGCUACGCGAAGAACCUUACCAGGUCUUGACAUACUAUGCAAAUCUAAGAGAUUAGACGUUCCCUUCGGGGACAUGGAUACAGGUGGUGCAUGGUUGUCGUCAGCUCGUGUCGUGAGAUGUUGGGUUAAGUCCCGCAACGAGCGCAACCCUUAUUAUCAGUUGCCAGCAUUAAGUUGGGCACUCUGGUGAGACUGCCGGUGACAAACCGGAGGAGGGUGGGGAUGACGUCAAAUCAUCAUGCCCCUUAUGACCUGGGCUACACACGUGCUACAAUGGAUGGUACAACG